GAGAGUAGCUCAAUCGGUAGAGCAUCGGCCUUUUAAGCCGCAGGUUCAGAGUUCAAGUCUCUGCUC
rnacentral:tRNA from 1 species